rnacentral:rRNA from 1 species
UAGGGAAUAUUGGUUAAUGGGCGAAAGCCCGAACCAGCAACGCCGCGUGUGCGAUGAAGGCCUUCGGGUCGUAAAGCACUUUUAAAGAGGAAGAGGAAGGACGGUACUCUUUGAAUAAGCUUCGGCUAACUACGUGCCAGCAGCCGCGGUAAUACGGAGGGUGCGAGCGUUAUCCGGAUUUACUGGGUUUAAAGGGUGCGUAGGUGGGCUUAUAAGUCAGUGGUGAAAUCUCCGAGCUUAACUUGGAAACUGCCGUUGGUACUAUAGGUCUUGAAUUAUCUGGAGGUAAGCGGAAUAUGUCAUGUAGCGGUGAAAUGCUUAGAUAUGACAUAGAACACCAAUUGCGAAGGCAGCUUACUACAUAUAAAUUGACGCUGAGGCACGAAAGCGUGGGGAUCAAACA